GCGGGGUUUCACCAUGUUGGUCAGGGUGGUCUUGAUCUCUUGACCUUGUGAUCCGCCCGCCUUGGCCUCCCAAAGUGUUGGGAUUACAGGCGUGAGACACAGUGCCCAGCCUAGAAUAUUUCAUAAAUGUAGCAAAUUGGCUUUAGGGAACUUUUUCUGCUUCCAGCAUUCAGCAGCUAUUUGAAGGGUUUUGGAAGCAAAGGAAUGGAGGGAGACAGGACGGCACCCUGAGGGAGACGCAGGGCUGAACGGAGCUGUUCGGGGAUAGCUGUGGCUUGAGUGGGUCUGUUGGCUGAAAGGAGGGAUUCGUUGAAGAAGGAGCAAUGGACGAGGUGAGAGAGAGGAUACUGGAUGGAACCAGGUUUCAGAGGAGGCUGAUGGGAGAAUGUGAGGAGCACCAAAGCGAGCCUUAGGAAAAAGAAGUUCAGACAGACAGACACUUCGGUAAACCACAGCUCCCAGUAUUCACCACUGUGUGUAGUCUCCUCCCACACUGACUCUGGGCUUGGUCAGCUGACAAGCUUUGGCCAAUAGGGCUCUAGCAAGAAGAUGCCAGCAGAGGCUUGAAAAGUGCCUACCCCUGGCCUGGGAUGCUUCCUCCUGGGAUGCUCCCACUUGGAACCCAACUAUUGUGCUGCAGAAGUUUAACUUAACUGUGUAAGGAGGCCAAGAGGAGGCCCUGGCUGCCAGCCAGCAUCAACUUCCAGUGACGUGAGUGUGCCAUUCUGGAACUGGAUCCUGCAGCCUCGGUGGAGCAGCCUCAGCUGAUGCCAUGUGGAACAGAGAUGAACUGCCGCUGCCGAGCUCUGCCCACGUUGCAGAAUCAUGAGCAAAUAUGUUGUGGAUUGGCUGUAACUCUGCUCUGGGAUCCAGGCUGAAGGAGCAGGCUCUAUCUGGAACAUUACUAGUCUCCAGGCAGAAGAAAAAGAGACAAUGGAAUGGAUGAUUGAAUGGAUGAAUGAACUCCACAGGAAGAUGAGGAAAGCCUUUAUGGAUGGAGUGAGCUUGCAGCAGAGUCUCAAAGGCAGGGGGCCUGGCCACCAGAGUCCCAAGCUACCAAGAUGUCAAGUAAAGAAGAACUGAAAGCCAACUGCUGGAUGCAGCAGUGAGUGGGGGUCACAGUGGCCUUUGCCAGAACUGUUCCAGUGGAGGAGUAGAGGAAGAGAGAAAACCACAGGAGCAGGCAUCGCAAGCUCAUGCUCCACCCACACGUCCCCUUUCUCCUUUAGUCCUGUGACCCAUGUGCUUGCUCUCUUUCUCUCUCAAAGGAGAUCCAAAUUUAAAAAUAUGGAGCCAAGGGAAUCAGUUCCUUUGCGAACACACUGAACGUUAGUUUUCUUCUUCUCUUUUGCAAAAACUUCUUAUUUCACAAAAUACUCAAACAAAUAGACAAAGUACAGUGAAGUCCAGGUAGAUAUCAUCCACCUUCAGCAAUGAUCAAUCCAUGGCCAAUCUUUCAUCUCAACACUCGUAUCCUCAUUCUUGUGGAGCAAAUGCCAGACAUUCUUUCAUCCAUCAGUAUGUCAAUAUGUAUCUCUGAAAUAGAAGGACUUUUUAUAAAACAUAAUCAUAAUAUAAUUAAUAUUCAUUCCCC
rnacentral:lncRNA from 10 species